AUUGAACGCUGGCGGCAGGCUUAACACAUGCAAGUCGAACGGUAGCAGGAGGAAGCUUGCUUUCUUGCUGACGAGUGGCGGACGGGUGAGUAAUGCUUGGGAAUCUGGCUUAUGGAGGGGGAUAACGACGGGAAACUGUCGCUAAUACCGCGUAGUGUCGAGAGACGAAAGGGUGGGACUUUUAGCCACCUGCCAUGAGAUGAGCCCAAGUGGGAUUAGGUAGUUGGUGGGGUAAAGGCCUACCAAGCCUGCGAUCUCUAGCUGGUCUGAGAGGAUGACCAGCCACACUGGAACUGAGACACGGUCCAGACUCCUACGGGAGGCAGCAGUGGGGAAUAUUGCGCAAUGGGGGCAACCCUGACGCAGCCAUGCCGCGUGAAUGAAGAAGGCCUUCGGGUUGUAAAGUUCUUUCGGUAUUGAGGAAGGUUGAUGUGUUAAUAGUACAUCAAAUUGACGUUAAAUACAGAAGAAGCACCGGCUAACUCCGUGCCAGCAGCCGCGGUAAUACGGAGGGUGCGAGCGUUAAUCGGAAUAACUGGGCGUAAAGGGCACGCAGGCGGUUAUUUAAGUGAGGUGUGAAAGCCCCGGGCUUAACCUGGGAAUUGCAUUUCAGACUGGGUAACUAGAGUACUUUAGGGAGGGGUAGAAUUCCACGUGUAGCGGUGAAAUGCGUAGAGAUGUGGAGGAAUACCGAAGGCGAAGGCAGCCCCUUGGGAAUGUACUGACGCUCAUGUGCGAAAGCGUGGGGAGCAAACAGG
rnacentral:rRNA from 1 species